rnacentral:rRNA from 1 species
ACUCCUGCGGGAGGCAGCAGUGGGGAAUUUUGGACAAUGGGCGAAAGCCUGAUCCAGCAAUGCCGCGUGAGUGAAGAAGGCCUUCGGGUUGUAAAGCUCUUUUGUCAGGGAAGAAACGGUGAGAGCUAAUAUCUCUUGCUAAUGACGGUACCUGAAGAAUAAGCACCGGCUAACUACGUGCCAGCAGCCGCGGUAAUACGUAGGGUGCAAGCGUUAAUCGGAAUUACUGGGCGUAAAGCGUGCGCAGGCGGUUUUGUAAGUCUGAUGUGAAAUCCCCGGGCUCAACCUGGGAAUUGCAUUGGAGACUGCAAGGCUAGAAUCUGGCAGAGGGGGGUAGAAUUCCACGUGUAGCAGUGAAAUGCGUAGAUAUGUGGAGGAACACCGAUGGCGAAGGCAGCCCCCUGGGUCAAGAUUGACGCUCAUGCACGAAAGCGUGGGGAGCAAACAGGAUUAGAUACCCGUGUAGUCCCAUGA